CUACUUGCUCGCGCCAGUUUUAGAGGAAACUGCUCUGGAAAACUCGGCCGGAAGUGUCAUGUGAAUCCAUAACAUCACCACAAACGUCUUUUCAAGCCAGGCAACCUCAGCGUGAAGAGAUCCAGAAGGCAGCAGCCACACUGCAGGAAAAAUGCCCCCAUGUGACCAUCAAUGAGGAUGCAUUGUUUGACGAGGUUACUGGCCUGCAAGAGUUCCUAAAGGGGGGAUCGCUUGAAUAAUGGAAAACAUCGGAGACACCGCUUAGUCAGAGAUGGAGUUACCCACUUCAAAGAGAACCACAUCCCACACUCUAACCUGGCUAGAUUAGCGUCUGUUGUCAUGUGCUUACCUGGAAGUAAUACACCAGUCGAGAGAGUGUUCUCCCAAAUGAAUGCUCUAUGGACAGCAGCAAGAAAUAGGUUCCCUGUUCCUACCAUCAAGGCCAUGCUUAUUGUGAAGACAAACGCCAACCUCCCCUGCCAGGAGUUCAUGGAGAAGCUGGCCAAAGACAGAGCAAUCCUGAAGAAGAUACAUUGUUCUGAGAAAUAUACAGAUUAGGUUGGAAUAAGUGACAGUUUCCCUGGCACCCAAAAGUACUUGUUUUCAAAUGCUAAGCCGGACAGGAAAAUGGUCCAUAUCACACACUUAUCAAGAGAACAUCCCUGGUCAUCCCUACUGCCUCUGAUCUGGAGGACUCACUAACCAGAGAACAUCCCUGGUCAUCCCUACUGCCUCUGAUCUGGAGGACUCACUAACCAGAGAACAUCCCUGGUCAUCCCUACUGCCUCUGAUCUGGAGGACUCACUAAACAGAGAACAUCCCUGGUCAUCCCUACUGCCUCUGAUCUGGAGGACUCACUAAACAGAGAACAUCCCUGGUCAUCCCUACUGUCUCUGAUCUGGAGGACUCACUAAACAGAGAACAUCCCUGGUCAUCCCUACUGCCUCUGAUCUGGAGGACUCACUAAACAGAGAACAUCCCUGGUCAUCCCUACUGUCUCUGAUCUGGAGGACUCACUAAACAGAGAACAUCCCUGGUCAUCCCUACUGCCUCUGAUCUGGAGGACUCACUAAACAGAGAACAUCCCUGGUCAUCUCUACUGCCUCUGAUCUGGAGGACUCACUAAACACAUGCUUUGUUUGUAAAUUAUGUCUGAGUGUUCCCAUGGCUAUUUCUUAAAUAAAAAAACUAACGAACCCCA